UUUAUUCUUAUAUAAAUUUUACUGAAAGUGGGAGAAUUGGUCUAAUUUGAGGGCGGGUGGGGUUGAAGAAGAGGUAAUCACUACCUUUACUCGUAAUCACCACGUACACAGUCUUUGUCUCUUUGGAGGAGGGUGGGAGGGGAAACGUCCCCAUCAGUCAAUCACGCAGCCUUUACCCUGGCGACUCACUCCGGAAACAGACGCAUUGAAGAUGGAGAGCGCGAGGGGUGCAGGAGCACGGUUUUCUAUCCUAGGAAAUAUUUAAAUGAAAAUGACACUGAAUAAUCCAAGUUUGGAGAUGGUGCAAAAAAAGAAGAGGAAACGCUCUUUCUAAAAAGAGACAUUUGCAAAGUCAACUACAAAUAAAUGCCCUACAUUUUACAUAAGGAAACCAAACAUGGUUUUAACUUAAGGAAAAAUCAAAUAUCAUUUUCAAAGGUGAAGUACUAAAUUUAUAUAAAACAGUCUUGCUCAUGGAAAAAGACAAUCUAAAGAACAAGAAAAAAAAUCCAAUAAAUGUGUUACUUGUUGAUCAUAAGUUCAAAACUUUAUUAGCCAAAAUAGAGAUUAUUACCAUUGAGGACCUAAAAGUAAAUUGUAAUCUAAGAGGAACUUUUGCAGAAGUUUACCUAUAUUGCACAGCUACACUUUUUUAAAAAAAACUGGAUUUUUUUUUUUUUUUUGCAUUAUUGGAUAUAACAUAACUAAUUCUAGUCUAAACCUUGAAAGGUCCUCUUUUAACCUAAAGACUAAUGGUGCCUUAAUUCAAGGCAAAACAAAUAAAUCUAUUCUGUAAAAUGUAUUAACAGCUGGCUCACCUUUGUUCUACUAGAUAUUAGAAUACUAGUUUUCAAACUGAGGUAUAGUUUUAAAAAGUCCUUCAAAGUAAAGAUAAUAGUCUUCUGAAAGCUUACAAAGACUGCACAAAAUAUUCAUAUGGAUAGUAAGAAAACCUGCAGCACCCAGGAAUUGAUGCACAGGCAAAACAUAGAAUUUAUUGUUAUCUGUUUUUCUAAAGUAAAACAUAGCUAAAAUAGGUUCCCAGCAAAAUGGUACAAUCAAUGACUUACAUGCUACUUAGAUACAGCACAUUUUUCAUUGUCUGACACUCUCAGACUAUAAUUGAAAAGGUCUACACCAACCAUUAUAAAAAAAUUAGUACAUUGAUAAUAAAGUGCAGCCACUGAACCACUUAAUACUGCUGCAAAUAUCUGCAUUUUACUUUAUAAGACCAAAAAAUAUUCAUGUGAAACUAGAAUUUAGUUUCAUCAGGGAACAGCCAAAAUUGCCUGUUAUUAAAUCCUUCUACAAAUAGAAAAAAAUAAUGUAUUAUAUGAACAUUAUUAAGCAAAAUGAAAUAUUUACUGGAUCAUUUUACCAUGCAUAAAGUGAAAUUUCCUAUGGUCUCACCUCAAAUUUAUAUACAAUUUAGCAUGGCUAGAUGUAAGAAAAUAGCAAAGACAUCUUGUUUUUAUACAACAGAGCAAAUACCCCAAAUGGCUGCUACUUCAAAAAGCUAAAAUUUUAGACUUAUAACUUUUACAGGCUCUUUCAGAGGGAAAUUCAUGGAGACUAGGUAUUUACAAAUACAGGACAAAACCAGAGAGAAAAUGGAACAAAGGCAAAGCAUUCUAUUAAAAACAAACCAACAAAUUGCUAUCCACAGAUUAUGUCAGUUUUGGUUUGCAGACAACCCCUGAGAUAAAAAUCAGUAUUAAGACACCAGAUAGUCAGAGGUAAAUCACUGAAAGAUAAUUACAUUCAUAAAUGGUGUCAUAAUACUUGCCUUUAUAGAAAGCACUUUUACUACCUUACAGAAAACUUAACUACUUGACCCUUUUCUGGAAAACAGUAAGUACACACAAUGAUUAGAGAUGUUUUUGAACAUUUUUUUUCCUCUUAAAAAAAAUCCAUCUGAGUAACACAUAGUGAUUUGUAGUCAGGUUAUAAGGAAACAUUAUAUGUGAAAUAGCAACAGGGAGCAUUGUUUCAUCUAUAAACACCUUAGCAAAUCAAAUCUAUAAAGGUGACUACAAAGUCUUAGGAGAUUGAUGAUUUUUUGUAGUAAGAUCUUAACACCAAUCAGAAAUACCUUUUUGCAUAUUUACUGCUGAUUAAUGUAUAUAAGUUUUGAAAUUUGAAUUUAGAUAAACCAGUCAAAGCAUCCUAAUGACAAAAUCUUGUUUCAAACAAAAUUCUCUGUAGUUACAGCCAAUUCAUUUUCUUCCUAUUACCCCUUAAUCAUGGUGGUGACUACAGUAAAGCAGAACAAGUAUACAAAGAAAAAAAUUCCUAACAAGGAUACAUUUCAUUUAUUCAUCCUUUUAAUCAUUCCUUUCUAUAUUACCACUUGUGCUAAAUACAUUGCUGGGUUUGCCCUGACCUGAUUUGGCACCUUAAUAAACACUAAUUUCUCUUAUUUCUGCUCCAUGAACUUUACCUUUUCUUUUAAAAGAAUAUCUGCAGAGUAUAACAGGACCAGUGUUCAGUGAGAUAAAGACUGGAGUCAUUACUCUACUGAAUGAAGCUGGAGAAAACAGAGAAAAAAUUUGCUACAUAAUCUUAACUGGGCCCUCACUGCAGCAUUCCUAUUUACACAUUCCUAUUUAAUUCACUCUCACUCAUCACCAUACUUUCAUUCUUCCCCAGCUCUUUCAGGCAAUCCCUUUCCCCCUUUUUCCACUGUCAAGAUUGAGGACUCAGGGUCCUCACAAAAAAUAAACAAACAAAAAAUCUGAGGCACAUUGUCUUACAUGAAGAUAUGGUUCCUCUACUUACUAAAACAAAGCCUUCUACAUAUAUUCUGGGUCCCAUUCCAUUUUCUCCAACAGCUUUCUUUCUCUAACAUGUCUACUCUUCCCAUUAUUUUUACUCUCUAUUUCCUAGUAGUUUCCACACUGCCUAUAAAAACACUUAUAUCUCUUCCAUCUUUAAAAAAUCCUCACUAUUCUAUAAACCACACAUUAGCCAAUACCUAGGUAUUUCCAAUACCUCUCCUCUUUGUGGCUAAACUCCUAGUUGACUAAACCACACUUGCUAACUUGACUUGCUUACUUAAGAAAAGUGCCUUACACUGGCACCUCUAUUCUUCUCCUCUGACUCAAACUAUAGUCUAACUUCCAACCUUUCCAAAGUUAUCAGUGACCUCUUAUUUGCCAAAUCUAAUGGAUCUUUUUGAUCCUCGUCAUUCUUAGCCUCUCUGCAAUCUCUGACACUGCUGAUUGUUCUCUUCUGGUUACUGAAGAACAUGAUAUUACAUCUCUGCAUUUUCAUUGUCUGUGCUUCAUGUCUGUAAUUCUCUCCUUCCUCACCUUUUCCUCUUGGCUUCUCUAAGCUUCUUUCUUUCUUUAAAUUUAGUAUUUUAUUUCCACCCCCCCCGCCAGUUAUAUAUAAAAACAAUAUUUAACAUUCAUUUUGAGUUCCAGAUCCUCUCUUCCUCCCUUCCCAGCCUCACCUUGUUGAGAAUGCAAUUACAUAGAGGUUAUAUAUGUGUAAUCAUGCAAAUAAUUUCCAUAAUAGUCAUAUCAUGAAAGAAAACAAACUAAAGAAAAAACCCUCAAGAAAAAUAAAAUUUUAAAGUAUGCUUCAAUCUGUAUUCAGACACCACCAGUUUUUUUCCUCUGAGAAUGAACAGCAUUUUUUAUCAUAAAUCAUUUAGAACUAUCUUGGAUCAUUGCAUUGCUGAAAAUAGUUAUAUCAUUCACAACUAUCAUCCUACAUUGCUGUUACUUUGUACACAGUACAUUUUACUUUGUGUCAGCUAAAGGAAGUUUUUCCGUGCUUAUCAUUUUUUAUAGCACAAUAGCUUUCCAUCACAAUUACAUAAUACCAUUUUAUUCAGCCAAUCACCAACUGAUAAGAGCCCCUCAAUUUUUUGACUCUGGAAAAGAACUGCUAUAAAUAUUUUCUGUAUAUAUAGUUCUUUCCCUUUUUGUUUUUAUUUCUACUACUGCUAACCUAGUAAUGGUAUUGCCAAGUAGGAGGAUAUGCUUGAUUUUAUAGUUCUUUGGGCAUAUUUUCAAAUUGCUCUUUAGAAUAGUUGAAUCAGUUCACAAUUCCACCAACAGUUAAUGUUUCAUUUUCCCCACAUUUUAUCAUUUCCCUUUUCUGUCCUAUUAGCCAAUCUAAAGGGUAUGUGGUAGUACUUCAGAAUUGUUAUAAUUUGCAUUUCUCUAAUCCAUAGUGAAUUAGAGCAUUUUUUUCAUAUAGCUAUAGAUAGUUGUGAUUACUUCAUCUGAAAAUUCUUCUUAUCUUUUGAUCAUUUAUCAAUUGGGGAAUGGUUCUUAUUUUUAUAAAUUUGACUCAAUUUUGAGAAAGGAGGCCUUUAUCAGAGAAACUUGCUUCAAAUUUUUUUUCACAAUUACUCUAAUAAAUGUAUUUCCCCCUAAUUAUUCUCUUUUCUCUCUCCUUUUACCUUGUUCCUCUUCAAACAUUUUGCUUCUGAUGACUAUCCUUUACCCAAUCUAUCCUUUCUUUUAUCAAUGCUUCCCCUCUUCUCUUAUACUCUUCUCCUACUUUCUCUGUAGGGUAAGAUAAAUUUCCAUAUCAAACUGAAUAUGUUAUUCUCUCUUUGAACCGAUUCUAAUGAGAAUAAACUUCACUCACUCUCCCUUAUCUCCCCCUCUUCCCCUCACUGUAAAAAGUUCUUCUUUGCUUCUUUUAUGUGUGAUAAUUUAUCCCAUUCUCCCUCUCCCUUUCUCUGUUUACAUUCUUCUCUAAUACCUUCAUUUAAUUUUUUAAGAUUUCAUUACUGCACAUUCAACUAACACCUAUGCCUUCCUUCUUAGUGCCCUAAUAAUGAGAAAGUUAUUAUUAAUUAUAAGUAUCAUCUUCCCAUGUAGGAAUGUAAACUAUUUAAUCUUAUUAAGUCUUCCCUGAUUUCUUUUUCCUGUUUACUUUCUUAUGCUUCUGGAGUCUUGUAUUUAAAAAGUCAAAUUUUCUACUCAGCUCUGGUCUUUUCAUCAAGAAUGCUUGAAAGUCCUUUUCUUCAUUGAAUGUCCAUUUUUAUCCUGAAGGAUUGUACUCAGUUUUGCUGGAUUAUUCUUAGUUGUAAUUCUAGCUCUUUUGCCCUCCAAAAUAUUAUAUCCCAGGCUCUUACAUCCUUUAGCAUAGAAGCUGCUAAAACUUGUGUUAUCCUGACAUGGCUCCACCAUACUUCAACUGUUUCUUCCUAGUUGCUUGCAAUAUUUUCUCCUUACCUGAGAGCUCUGAAAUUUGGCUACCAUAUUCUUGAGAGUUUUCACUUUGAGAUCUCUAUCAGGAAGUGAUAGUGGAUUCUUUUAAUUUCUAUUUUACCCUCUGGUUCUAGAAUAUCAGAGGAGUUUUCUUUGAUAAUUUCAUGAAUGAUGAUAUCUACACCUUUUUUUUUUUUGGAUCAUGGCUUUCAGGUAGUCAAAUAAUUUUAAAAUUAUCUCUCCUGGAUCUAUUUGCCAGGCCAGUUGUUUUUCCAAUAAGAUAUUUCACAAUGUCUUCUAUUUUUUCAUUCUUUUGAUUUUGUUUUAUUGUUUCUUGACUUUUCAUAACGUCAUUAGCUUCCAUUUGCUCAAUUCUAGUUUUUAAGGAAUUAUUUUCUUCAGUGAGCUUUUGUACCUCCUUUUCCAUUUGUCCAAUUCUAUUUAUAAAAGAGUUACUUUUUAGUGGAUUUUUUUGCCCAUUUGGCUAAUUCUACUCUGUAAGGAAUUUUUCUUCAUUAAAUUUUUGUGCUUCUCUUUCCAAUUGGCCAAUUCUGCUUUUUAAAUCCUUCUACUCCUUACUGGCUUUUUGUACUUCCUUUAUCAUUUGGCCCAGUCUGGUUUUUGAGCUGUAUUUUCUUCAGGAUUUUUUUGUCUUCUUUACUGAUGACUUGUUUUUUAUGAUUUUCUUGCAUCACUCUCAUUUCUCUUCCCAAUUUUUCCUCUACCUCUCUUACUGGAUUUUCAAAAUCCUUUUUGAGCUCUUCUAUGGCCUGAGACCAAAUCAUAUUUUUCUUGGAGGCUUUGGGUGUAGGAGUUUUAACUUUAUUAUCUUCUGAAUGUGUGUUUUGAUCUUUUUUGUCACUAUAGCAACUUUCUACGGUUAGAAUUUUUUUCCUUCAUUUCCUCAGCCUAUUACUUGACUUUUAACCCUCUGUUAAAAUAGGGUUCUGUUUCUAGGAUGAAAAAUGUAUUGUCCUGGGUUUUGUGCAGCUGUUUUCAGAGAUACUUCUAGCAGCCUGUAAGUUUUCAGUUUUUCCAAGGUGGCAGAUCUAAGGAGAGGUAUGUUUAUUAUUCUCCUGACUUGCACUCAGGCCUGUGAGUGAUCAAAAGCACUCUUUUCUACCCUGGAACUGAAGAGGGUUCCCAGUGCCCUGUAGCUGCAAGCUCUGGUGUGGUAGUAUUCUUCAUCCUGAGACUGCCAUCUAGCACUGUGACCCAGAUUCAGGUAUGGGCAAAGAAAUAGAGUCCUACCCUCAGUGCUAGCAAAAAGAUCCCUGUAAAAUCCUUCUGCUUUGUUGUCUUUGGGCUGACAGCUCUGGAAGCUGCUGUGGCUGUGCCUGUCAGCCAUCCCAAACCUGUUCCUAGUUUGCUGGUGCUAGGGCUAUGUUGGUGUGGCCCAUGUUGGACUGCAUAUCACUCACCCUGGUGUGACAGACCUUUAUGACAAUUUUUCAAGCUGUCCUGGACUAGAAAGUUGUUUGAUUCUAUUUUUUGUGGGUUCCGCUACUCUAAAAUGUGUUUAGAGUGAUUAUUUAAAGGGAUUUGGAGGGGCUUAGGGAAGAGCUUAGGCAAGACCUUGUCCUUACUCUGACACUGUGGCUCUGUCCUUGAUCCCUGGCUUUUUUUCAAGAUUCAACUCAAAUUACGUCUUCUCUAUGAGGCCUUCCUCAUUACUUUCUCCUCCACUGCUAAUGUUUCCUCUGUUACUUUAAGAUUUCUAACUUCUUAGAUGAAUGAAAAAAUGAAAUUAUCUUCCCACCUUUAAUUCAAUAGAAUUUAAUUAUCUAUUGAGCAAUGGCAAUCUAUGUGAAGGGUGAAUAGUAGAAAUCCCACAACAAGAGUCAAUGUAAAAGUCAGUUAAAAAAAAAUAUGAAUAAUGGAUUGUCAAUAAAAGUCAUUAACUAGGUUAAGAGG